rnacentral:ncRNA from 1 species
GAGUGCCGUGUGCGGUGAAAGUCGCACGCACGGUGCGAACCGGGGGAAAAGGAGCCCAAACAGGUAAUGCUGAGGGGUUACUUACCUAUCGGUAC